rnacentral:rRNA from 1 species
AUUGAACGCUGGCGGCAUGCUUUACACAUGCAAGUCGAACGGUAACAGGCCGCAAGGUGCUGACGAGUGGCGAACGGGUGAGUAAUGCAUCGGAACGUGCCCAGUCGUGGGGGAUAACGCAGCGAAAGCUGCGCUAAUACCGCAUACGAUCUAUGGAUGAAAGCGGGGGACCGUAAGGCCUCGCGCGAUUGGAGCGGCCGAUGGCAGAUGAGGUAGUUGGUGGGGUAAAGGCUCACCAAGCCAACGAUCUGUAGCUGGUCUGAGAGGACGACCAGCCACACUGGGACUGAGACACGGCCCAGACUCCUACGGGAGGCAGCAGUGGGGAAUUUUGGACAAUGGGCGCAAGCCUGAUCCAGCAAUGCCGCGUGCAGGAAGAAGGCCUUCGGGUUGUAAACUGCUUUUGUACGGAACGAAAAGGCUCUGGUUAAUACCUGGGGCUCAUGACGGUACCGUAAAAAUAAGCACCGGCUAACUACGUGCCAGCCGCCGCCGUAACAC